AGAGUUUGAUUAUGGCUCAGGAUGAACGCUAGCUACAGGCUUAACACAUGCAAGUCGAGGGGGUAACAGGGUAGCAAUACCGCUGACGACCGGCGCACGGGUGAGUAACACGUAUCCAACCUUCCCAUAACUCAGGGAUAGCCUUUCGAAAGAAAGAUUAAUACCUGAUAGUACUUUUUCAAGGCAUCUUGAGAAAGUUAAAGAUUUAUUGGUUAUGGAUGGGGAUGCGUUCCAUUAGAUAGUUGGUGAGGUAACGGCUCACCAAGUCUUCGAUGGAUAGGGGUUCUGAGAGGAAGGUCCCCACAUUGGUACUGAGACACGGACCAAACUCCUACGGGAGGCAGCAGUGAGGAAUAUUGGUCAAUGGGCGAGAGCCUGAACCAGCCAAGUAGCGUGAAGGAUGAAGGUCCUAUGGAUUGUAAACUUCUUUUAUAGUAGAAUAAAGUGAUCCACGUGUGGAUUUUUGUAUGUAUACUAUGAAUAAGGAUCGGCUAACUCCGUGCCAGCAGCCGC
rnacentral:rRNA from 1 species